rnacentral:rRNA from 1 species
AUGAUGCAAUCUUUCCUUAAUGUCGCCAGUAAAGACCGUGCCAGGAAUGAAGUGGUGAGGACCUGGGUGCGGCAGCUCCGUAACCUGGCCUUCGAUGUCGAAGACUGCGUCGAAUUAGUUAUCCACCUAGAUAACGAAUCGACCAGGAACUGGGUGUGGCGUCUGGUGCCGUCCUGCAUGGCACCACCUCGGACUCGGUACCUCGACGGUGCCGUCGCUGAGUUGAAGUGGCUCAAGGCGAGGGUCGAGGAGGUGAGCCAGAGGAACACUCGCUACAAUCUGAUAAGCGACUCCGGCUCAUCCAAUACCGUCUCACAGCCACCGGUGAUGCAGCUGGCCACCACCGCCCCAUCAACAAUGGACAUCCUGAUGGAGCUAUGGGAGGCCAAGGCGAAGCACCGCGGUUCGUGCGACCUCCAAAAGUUGAUUACCAUGGAGGGUAAUGACCUUCAGGUAAUCUCUUUGUGGGGCAGUGCAGGGUCUGAUAGUGAGGGGGCCCAGAUUAUCAAUAAGGCCUACUGCGACCCAGAAAUCAACCGGAUAUUCAAUGUCCGUGCCUGGGUAAAGCUGAUGCAUCCAUAUAACCCUGACGAGUUCCUGAACAUGCUGAAGACUCAGUUGCAAGCCAGCUCUCGGUCUUGCCAAGCUUUCGAUUUCAAGGGCAAGACUUCUGAAAAUGAUGCCAUGAAGAAAUUGACUGGGCAGAGAUAUCUGAUCAUCCUCGAAGGAAUAUCCAGUGCUGUAGAGUGGGAUAUCAUCAGAAUGUACCUGCCUGACAACAACAACGGCAGCCGGAUUGUAGUGUCAACCAAACAGAUAGGGGAUGCAAUUUUUUGCACGGGGGAGCCAUACCGAGUAUCAGUGCUCGGAGAGUUCACUGGUGGCAAUUAUCUUUGUGCAUUUUAUAACAAGGGUUCAGGUCGUCGAAAUGUCAUGGGCGACCUUAUUCGGCUAUUAAGACGCCCUGGUGUGAUAUCUGUUUGGGGGACCGGUGAUGAAAAUCAACUCUCGUCAAAGAACUGUUCGACUUCAGACGGAAUAAGAAUAAACUAA